rnacentral:rRNA from 1 species
AACGAACGCUGGCGGCAGGCUUAACACAUGCAAGUCGAGCGCCCCGCAAGGGGAGCGGCAGACGGGUGAGUAACGCAUGGGAAUCUACCCAUCUCUACGGAAUAACGCAUGGAAACGUGUGCUAAUACCGUAUACGUCCUUCGGGAGAAAGAUUUAUCGGAGAUGGAUGAGCCCGCGUUGGAUUAGCUAGUUGGUGGGGUAAAAGCCUACCAAGGCGACGAUCCAUAGCUGGUCUGAGAGGAUGAUCAGCCACACUGGGACUGGGACACGGCCCAGACUCCUACGGGAGGCAGCAGUGGGGAAUAUUGGACAAUGGGCGCAAGCCUGAUCCAGCCAUGCCGCGUGAGUGAUGAAGGCCCUAGGGUUGUAAAGCUCUUUCACCGGUGAAGAUAAUGACGGUAACCGGAGAAGAAGCCCCGGCUAACUUCGUGCCAGCCGCCGCCGUAAAAC